AAAAUUAGUAAUAUGUUUAAAAAAAAUGAGGCGUACAUAACAUCAGGAUGUCAAGUGCCCACUUCUGAAGGAUGGUGCCGUGCACAGUGAAGUGUGCACUGGAGUCUCAUUCAGCAAGGCUACCCAUUCCAUCCUCAUCAAAGCUUCAGAGCAAGUCUCAUUAUGCGACCUCCCAAAACAUGUCAACAAAGAGCCAACAGACUGACCAACACACCCCAAACCAAAAUCAGUGCAAAGAAAAAGAAAUAGAUAUUGAAAACUGAUUUAAUUAAGACAUCAUUUUGAUGGAGG
rnacentral:lncRNA from 1 species